UACGGAGGGGGGCUAGCGUUGUUCGGAAUUACUGGGCGUAAAGCGCACGUAGGCGGCUUUGUAAGUUAGAGGUGAAAGCCCGGGGCUCAACUCCGGAAUUGCCUUUAAGACUGCAUCGCUAGAAUUUGUGGAGAGGUAAGUGGAAUUCCGAGUGUAGAGGUGAAAUUCGUAGAUAUUCGGAAGAACACCAGUGGCGAAGGCGACUUACUGGACACAUAUUGACGCUGAGGUGCGAAAGCGUGGGGGAGCAA
rnacentral:rRNA from 1 species